AACGAACGCUGGCGGCAGGCUUAACACAUGCCAGUCGAGCGCCCCGCAAGGGGAGCGGCAGACGGGUGAGUAACGCGUGGGAACGUACCUUUUGGUUCGGAACAACUCCGGGAAACUGGAGCUAAUACCGGAUAAGCCCUAACGGGGAAAGAUUUAUCGCCGAAAGAUCGGCCCGCGUCUGAUUAGCUAGUUGGUGAGGUAACGGCUCACCAAGGCGACGAUCAGUAGCUGGUCUGAGAGGAUGAUCAGCCACACUGGGACUGAGACACGGCCCAGACUCCUACGGGAGGCAGCAGUGGGGAAUAUUGGACAAUGGGCGCAAGCCUGAUCCAGCCAUGCUGCGUGAGUGAUGAAGGCCUUAGGGUUGUAAAGCUCUUUUGUCCGGGAAGAUAAUGACUGUACCGGAAGAAUAAGCCCCGGCUAACUUCGUG
rnacentral:rRNA from 1 species